AUUGAACGCUGGCGGCAUGCCUUACACAUGCAAGUCGAACGGCAGCGGGGGAGAAGCUUGCUUUUCCUGCCGGCGAGUGGCGAACGGGUGAGUAAUACAUCGGAACGUGCCCUGUAGUGGGGGAUAACUAGUCGAAAGAUUAGCUAAUACCGCAUACGACCUGAGGGUGAAAGUGGGGGACCGCAAGGCCUCACGCUAUAGGAGCGGCCGAUGUCUGAUUAGCUAGUUGGUGGGGUAAAGGCCUACCAAGGCGACGAUCAGUAGCUGGUCUGAGAGGACGAUCAGCCACACUGGGACUGAGACACGGCCCAGACUCCUACGGGAGGAAGCAGUGGGGAAUUUUGGACAAUGGGCGAAAGCCUGAUCCAGCAAUGCCGCGUGUGUGAAGAAGGCCUUCGGGUUGUAAAGCACUUUUGUCCGGAAAGAAAUGGCUCUGGUUAAUACCUGGGGUCGAUGACGGUACCGGAAGAAUAAGGACCGGCUAACUACGUGCCAGCCGCCGCCGUAAUAC
rnacentral:rRNA from 1 species